GUUUUGUCUUAGUUUCGUCGUUUUGAAUCCAACGAGACCAUUUGCAAGGUCGUAGCUCUUCUAAUAGCUGAGAUAUGGCAUUUUUGAUGCCCAUUUUUGGCCUCAAAAACGGACGUCGAAAACCGACUUUUUCAGGAUUUUCAAAGUGCUCUCAUUCCCUUAGUUUUGCUCGGAUCCUGUUAUAACCCGGUGUUUUCGUUAUCUAGGUGACCCAAAUAAGACGCUGGUAUACUUAGUUUGAUUUCGAAAAAAAUCAAUUUUUGGUGAAAAAAUUCGAUACGGGGGGGUAUACCCGAAAAAUGAAAAAGUCCAAACUUUGAAGGUCGAUAUCUCAACUUCUAUGGGAGCUAUCUGGAAAAUUCCAACGGUUUUGUCUUAGUUUCGUCGUUCUAAAUCCAACGAGACCAUCCGCAAGGUCGUAGCUCUUCUAAUAGCUGAGAUAUGGCAUUUUUGAUGCCCAUUUUUGGCCUCAAAAACGGACGUCGAAAACCGACUUUUUCAGGAUUUUCAAAGUGCUCUCAUUCCCUUAGUUCUGCUCGGAUCCUGUUAUAACCCGGUGUUUUCGUAAUCUAGGUGACCCAAAUAACACGCUGGUAUACUUAGUUUGAUUUCGAAAAAAAUCAAUUUUUGGUGAAAAAAUUCGAUACGGGGGGGUAUACCCGAAAAAUGAAAAAGUCCUAACUUUGAAGGUCGAUAUCUCGGCUUCUAUGGGAGCUAUCGGGAAAAUUCCAACGGUUUUGUCUUAGUUUCGUCGUUCUAAAUCCAACGAGACCAUCCGCAAGGUCGUAGCUCUUCUAAUAGCUGAGAUAUGGCAUUUUUGAUGCCCAUUUUUGGCCUCAAAAACGGACGUCGAAAACCGACUUUUUCAGGAUUUUCAAAGUGCUCUCAUUCCCUUAGUUCUGCUCGGAUCCUGUUAUAACCCGGUGUUUUCGUAAUCUAGGUGACCCAAAUAACACGCUGGUAUACUUAGUUUGAUUUCGAAAAAAAUCAAUUUUUGGUGAAAAAAUUCGA
rnacentral:lncRNA from 1 species